GGAGGGAUCGCAUAGUGGUCUAGUGCGCCCGCCUGCUAAGCGGGUUCCGGGUAACCCCCGGUCCUGGGUUCGAAUCCCAGUCCCUCCGCCC
rnacentral:tRNA from 2 species